rnacentral:rRNA from 1 species
GCGAACGGGGAGGAGCCCAGAGCCUGAAUCAGCAUGUGUGUUAGUGGAAGCGUCUGGAAAGGCGCGCGAUACAGGGUGACAGCCCCGUACACAAAAGCGCAUGUGCUGUGAGCUCGAUGAGUAGGGCGGGACACGUGGUAUCCUGUCUGAAUAUGGGGGGACCAUCCUCCAAGGCUAAAUACUCCUGACUGACCGAUAGUGAACCAGUACCGUGAGGGAAAGGCGAAAAGAACCCCGGCGAGGGGAGUGAAAAAGAACCUGAAACCGUGUACGUACAAGCAGUGGGAGCACAGGUUUACCUGUGUGACUGCGUACCUUUUGUAUAAUGGGUCAGCGACUUAUAUUCUGUAGCAAGGUUAACCGAAUAGGGGAGCCGGAGGGAAACCGAGUCUUAAUUGGGCGUUAAGUUGCAGGGUAUAGACCCGAAACCCGGUGAUCUAGCCAUGGGCAGGUUGAAGGUUGGGUAACACUAACUGGAGGACCGAACCGACUAAUGUUGAAAAAUUAGCGGAUGACCUGUGGCUGGGGGUGAAAGGCCAAUCAAACCGGGAGAUAGCUGGUUCUCCCCGAAAGCUAUUUAGGUAGCGCCUCGUGAAUUCAUCUCCGGGGGUAGAGCACUGUUUCGGCUAGGGGGCCAUCCCGGCUUACCAACCCGAUGCAAACUGCGAAUACCGGAGAAUGUUAUCACGGGAGACACACGGCGGGUGCUAACGUCCGUCGUGAAGAGGGAAACAACCCAGACCGCCAGCUAAGGUCCCAAAGUCAUGGUUAAGUGGGAAACGAUGUGGGAAGGCCCAGACAGCCAGGAUGUUGGCUUAGAAGCAGCCAUCAUUUAAAGAAAGCGUAAUAGCUCACUGGUCGAGUCGGCCUGCGCGGAAGAUGUAACGGGGCUAAACCAUGCACCGAAGCUGCGGCAGCGACGCUUA